GGUCCAAAAGUGGAUGUUCCUUCUAUGUUUACAGGAUUUAUGGUUAAUCAUAGAGGAAAAUUCACAUUUUAAGUGUC
rnacentral:pre_miRNA from 1 species